rnacentral:misc_RNA from 1 species
GAGAGAGAGAGAGAGAGAGAGUUUCCAAAUAUGUCCUCUGUUAGAAGUGAAUAACAUAAGCAAAUGUGAGUUUGUUCAUGUUUUUGUCAAAAACAAAGACAAACAGAGAAAAUGAUGUUAGGUUAACAAAUUGUUGGGAAUUAGUUGCAAAGAAACUCACUAUUACACAUGAAUGAAACAAAGUAGAAUAGGCUUGGAAGUAUUCUAAGAAUACUACUAUUCAACUUAAACAAGUUAUAAGAACAGAUAAAAGAGAGUUAGGAGAAGAAAAUAAAUUAAAUCAACAAGCAACUACCUCAACCAAAAGAAAAAUAGCUAUAGCAACUUGUAAAGUGAAAUUAAACAAGCACGAAAACAACUCUCAAGCAAAGAAACAGUUCCAUCCUAUCAAGAAUGCUUCUCCAUCUGCUUUCUUCUCAUAAGUCCAGCAGUGACUUGGCAUUGCCCAUUAGGCUAUUUAAAUUGAUCGCAAGUUCUCAGCAUUCUUCAAAUCUUUAAAGUCUCAUAAACAAAUAUCCAGUUAAGCGUCGAAAAAAGCUUGGUAUCCUAGCAUUAGAGACUUAUCUACAAAUAUUAAACAAUUUUCAUUUAAGCAUUUCCCCUCAAUUUCUCAAAGAUUCUUGUUUGGGUUUGUUAACAGAUCAAAAUUUGCCUAGCUGAAAAAUCAACUCAACAGAUGAACUAAAAACAGCAACUAGUGAAAAGGAAUAAAGUGCAAUAUCACAAACUGGACAAUAUCCUCCAUUCAAAACCUAAAGACCAAUUAAAAUGGAAGGAAAAUGCACAAACCCAUCGAACAACAAAAAGAAAAUGAUUGCAAACGCAUUAUAAAAUAAUGGGAUUGCAACAAAAAAUAAGGGUAUUGUCAUUCACAUUGAAAAAAAAAUCAAUAAAUCAGAUUAAAAACAAACAAUCGAGUUACGUACCUUGAGAUAUUUGAGUUUCAGGUUCCCAUACACAAGACCCAGAGAGAAAGCUGACACACGAGCCACCUAAAAUGACAAUAAUAGAAGAUUGAAUUCAAUAGUAGAGACUCAUAAAAUUUAUUUUCUUUUUUUGUGUAAUUUCUAAGGAAGCAAACAGAGGAUGAGGAAAGU